CUUCCCUCAAGAUAGCUAGAGUCUGGGAAUGAGUUUUAUCGGAUAAAAUCAAUAAUUAGAGACAUCAAGGACCCUCGAUUUAUUCUCAAACUUUAAAUAAGUAGGAUGACGCUACUUCUUUGUUGAGCCGAGUAGAACCAUGGAAUGGAGAUAUGCAAAUGGGCUAUUUUUGGUAAGCAUAUAUUGGAAUUAGUUUCAUUA
rnacentral:ncRNA from 2 species